rnacentral:other from 1 species
UGCUCCCUGUGGUGUUCGCUCACUGGCCAAGUCCCUGAGCCGAUGUUUCACCUAUUGGGGGCUCCCUAUAGGCGCGGGAGUGCAUGUCCGCUUUGCGGAAAGCCCGAUGCGCCUAGGAAGCCUCCCCCCUUGAACCCUGGGUUCAAGGGGCUUACGCCAGCAACGGCAUCGCGGGGAGCAU